rnacentral:rRNA from 1 species
CAAAGGUCUGGUCCUGGCCUUACUAUCAAUUAUAGCUUAACUUACACAUGCAAGUCUCCUCACUCCCGUGAAAACGCCCUCUCCUUCCAAUUAGAAGUAGAGGAGCUGGUAUCAGGCCCAUAAGCCCAUAACACCUAGCCCAGCCACACCCCCAAGGGUACUCAGCAGUGAUAAAUAUUGAAAACUAGCGCAAGCUAAAUUCAGUUAUAGCUAAGAAAACCGGUCAAUCUCGUGCCAGCCGCCGCGGUUAUACGGGCAGGUUUAAAUUGAUAGCAUCGGCACAAAGUGUGGUUAGAUACCUAUCUAAUUAAAGCAAAAGAAAAGCCAAGCUGUGAUAUGCUCACGCUUUACUAAUUCCGAUUACGAAAGUAGCUUUAACCCUAAUUGAACCCACGAUCGCUAGGACACAAACUGGGAUUAGAUACCCCACUAUGCCUAGCCCUAAACUUUGACAUCCUCCGCCUGGGAACUACGAGCGUUAGCUUAAAACCCAAAAGACUUGGCGGUGCCCUAUACCACCUAGAGGAGCCUG